GUAGUGGGGGAUAACUUGCCGAAAGGUAAGCUAAUACCGCAUACGUCCUACGGGAGAAAGCAGGGGACUCUUCGGAGCCUUGCGCUAUUAGAUGAGCCUAGGUCGGAUUAGUUAGUUGGUGAGGUAAUGGCUCACCAAGACUGCGAUCCGUAACUGGUCUGAGAGGAUGAUCAGUCACACUGGAACUGAGACACGGUCCAGACUCCUACGGGAGGCAGCAGUGGGGAAUAUUGGACAAUGGGGGCAACCCUGAUCCAGCCAUGCCGCGUGUGUGAAGAAGGUCUUCGGAUUGUAAAGCACUUUAAGUUGGGAGGAAGGGCAGUUAACUAAUAUUUGACUGUUUUGACGUUACCGACAGAAUAAGCACCGGCUAACUUCGUGCCAGCAGCCGCGGUAAUACGAAGGGUGCAAGCGUUAAUCGGAAUUACUGGGCGUAAAGCGCGCGUAGGUGGUUCGUUAAGUUAGGAGUGAAAGCCCCGGGCUCAACCUGGGAAUUGCUUCUAAAACUGGCGGACUAGAGUAUGGUAGAGGGUGGUGGAAUUUCCUGUGUAGCGGUGAAAUGCGUAGAUAUAGGAAGGA
rnacentral:rRNA from 1 species